GAUGAACGCUGGCGGCGUGCCUAAUACAUGCAAGUCGAGCGAACGGACGAGAAGCUUGCUUCUCUGAUGUUAGCGGCGGACGGGUGAGUAACACGUGGAUAACCUACCUAUAAGACUGGGAUAACUUCGGGAAACCGGAGCUAAUACCGGAUAAUAUUUUGAACCGCAUGGUUCAAAAGUGAAAGACGGUCUUGCUGUCACUUAUAGAUGGAUCCGCGCUGCAUUAGCUAGUUGGUAAGGUAACGGCUUACCAAGGCAACGAUGCAUAGCCGACCUGAGAGGGUGAUCGGCCACACUGGAACUGAGACACGGUCCAGACUUCUACGGGAGGCAGCAGUAGGGAAUCUUCCGCAAUGGGCGAAAGCCUGACGGAGCAACGCCGCGUGAGUGAUGAAGGUCUUCGGAUCGUAAAACUCUGCUAUUAGGGAAGAACAUAUGUGUAAGUAACUGUGCACAUCUUGACGGUACCUAAUCAGAAAGCCACGGCUAACUACGUG
rnacentral:rRNA from 1 species